GUGCCUGUAGCUCAAAGGAGUAGGGCACUGGCCCCAUAUGCCAGAGGUGGCGGGUUCAAACCCAGCCCUGGCCA
rnacentral:tRNA from 1 species